CGAUUAUUUACGAGGUCCAUCCAUGUACCUCCCAUUCUUCUUGCUAGUCCCGUUUGUACUGCAUCUGCUUUGGCUGUCCAAGGAGACUUGGCUCCCAUCAGGUACUGGAAGGUUGUGAUAAGGUCUCUCCAGAGCCUUCUUCAGGUUAAACAGGCACAACUCUCUCAGACGACUAUGUUUGAAGUUUUUCAGGGAACUCCAUUGAUUACUCUGAUUGUGGCUAAUGCAGGACCCCUGGGAUUCAAUCAAGUCUUCUGCUGAGGAUCUGGAGCUGUGGACUCAAGCCUAGUUUACAGACACAAGUCUGGAGCCAAUUCCUUGCUGAUCCAGCUGUAAAUGGAUAUGGAAUCAUGGGCAGACAGGCUGCAAGCUGCUGUCUAAAAUAACGACAAUGCCCUUUCCAAACCAACACAGCAGCCUUUUGAAGACACUUGUCUCACAAACCUCAUAUUCACCAGGAUAUUUAGCUAUUAGUCUGAACGAAUUAUCCUAGAAAUAUUACUAUGAGUCAGCUUAAGAAACUGUAGUAUGAUCAAGAAAAAUAUUUUCCUAAUGUUAUUUAAGAAUAUUAAAUUUGGCCAGAAGAGUCAGAAGGAUCCAACUAGCCCAGGAUUCAGACUUACAAAGGUGUUACUGUACUGUUUGUCACAAGUGUGGCUUGUUCCUCUUGACAAUAACUGUCUUUUUCCCAGAAGAAUGGUUCAUAAGUAAUUGCCAAUAUCCAACAACUGGUAAUAGGACUGGUGCUUCUGGAAAUCAAAGAAUCUGAAUACAAGGGCAGUGAUGACAAGGCCCUAGGAAACCCCAGCAUCUCCCUUUUUUAUUCCCUUUUCUCUUAUUCACUGACAAAAGCACCAUCCAGUGGAGUGGAGCAAGACCUUAGUCAAUCCUGUGCCUGUCACAGCAGCCAAAUUUCAAAGGUGCCAGGAACAGAUGGUAAUAUCCCCUAGUUAAGGGAUGUUUGGUGAAACAUUUUAUAGAGCAGAUUGUGGCACUGAAUUCAGUAAGGCUAGUUUUCUCUUGAGAGGAUAAAAAAAGAGGAAGAAAAGGAAGAAAACAACAACAAUCCCCAGGAGAACAGCAGUUAGCAUACUUGAUAAAGGCAAUAAGAACAGUACACUCACAGUAGUACUUCCUCCAAAUGUUCUCAUGGCAAUCAUCCAGAAAACAGUAAGUUGAGGACCUCCUGAGCCAGAGAUAUUGUCACUAUGUUUAUUAGAACUCUAUAAUGCAAUUGUUUAAUGCAAUUGUGGUGUACACAAUGGAUAUCUUAAACAUAUGUUGUAUACCCUUAUGCACAGUACCACUGCACAUAACACAACAGGCUUGCGUUUUACUUUGGCUGAAGUUCUCUUUUAUGAAACUGUCCAGUCACUCUUUGAAUUAUGUAAACUUGUAGCAACCACAACUUUCUGCAGGGAAACUUUUCACAGCUUGAUCGACUAUUGUAUGAAAAUUCACUUCUGUUGUUUGCUUUUUUCUAGUCAUCUGCUUCUUUCAUUUGAAGUCUCUUGCUUUUGUAUUGGAUUAAAGAAGUUAUAAUAAAAAUUUGUAAUUGUCUUUUCUAG